AGGCUGUAAGACCUGAGCCGGGCGGAGAAGCAAAGGAGAGGGAAGCUGGAAGCACCUUUGGCCCGGGACAGAAAUCUGGAGAGCUUGGCUACCUCCAUCCUCCUCAGGCCGGAGCAGGCUUCCUGAGAGAGUCCAGGUCGUAGGAGUUUUACGACUUAGAAAAGCGGGCUGCAGAUUCCUUCCUGGGUGUUUGGUUCAAGCCUUGGCUCCAGCCUCACUCUCAGUCUUCCCGGGAGUUCGUGGGAUUUGGACCUUAGAUUAUUAGUAUUAUUUUGAGGGCCUCCUGUGUGUAAGCACUGGUUGUGCGCAGAUGGCUGUGCAGAGGGCCAUGAGGUAGAGGCUGGGGAAAUGAGGGCUUGGAGGUGCUUGAGGUAUGGUCUUUACCUACGUGAAAUGUUGGAGGUAAGUCGGAUUUAUAACUUGUGUUGAUGCUUUUAUAAUCUAGGAGCUUAGGGUUUAGUAGGAAGAGUCGCUCAUUCAAUGAAUUAAACGCUCAUUCCUAUGUACUAGGCACCAUUCCGAGUGCAGUGGCUACAAAGACUAGUAGAACAUAGUCCUGGUUCUUUAGGAACUCUGUGAUUGGGCAAGUGGGAGAGAGGGCGGAAAACGUGAACUGGUGAGUAGUUGGCGUGUGAUGCGUGCCGUAGUGGAAGAAAGUGCUGUGAGAGUUAGAAGAGGGGGAUGAUUGAAGGAAUUAAGGACAUUUAACAGAAAGUGAUAUUUGAGUAAAGUUUAUUUUUGUUUUGUUUUUUUUUUUUUUUUGAGACGGGAGUCUCGCUCUGCCUCCCAGGUUGGAGUCCAGUGGCGCUAUCUCGGCUCACUGCAACCGCCGCCUCCCGGGUUCAAGCAGUUCUCAGCCUCAGCCUCCCAAGUAGCUGGGAUUACAGGCGCACACCACCACGCCCGGCUAAUUUUUGCGUUUUUAGUAGAGAUGGGGUUUCACCAUGUUGGCCAGGCUGGUCUUGAACUCCUGACCUCGUGAUCCACCCGCCUCGGCCUCCCAAAGUGCUGGGAUUACAGGCCAAAGCCACCGCUCCCGGCCUUGAGUAAAGUUUAAAAAGUAUACUUAGGGUGGGUAUUUAUCCCUCCAUGAAAGCGCCUUUUACUCAGCCAGCACAGAGCCAUCCCUUUGCCCUUCCAGAUGCCUGACUGGGACCUUGCUUAUGGAUGUGUGAGCUUUUAAUCUCUGGCUGUAAUCUUACCCACUUCAACCUAAACUUGGAAUGAUUACUCUUGACCCUUUUUUUGAGUGAUAAGGCAAAUCUCCCCACACCUGGGCAUUUUAAAGUUAUAUACUGUAUGUUUAAAUAUCCCCCUUAAAAAGCCUGAGCUAUAUAACAAUCUAGAUGUGUCUAUCUUACUCUUUUCCCACAAACUAAGAAUCCAAAUAAUGUUAAAAAUCUUUAAAAAAAAAAAAAAAAGUAUACUCAGGUUUUCUCCCCAUCGAAAGGGGUGGAGAAAGCACUCCAGGAACUAGGAAAAUGUACCUGCCGCAUGUGGCUGGAGCACAUGGGAGGUUUGCCCAGCUGAUGAUGAAGCAGAUAGGGAGUUCAACUUGUAAAGAUCUUGAAUUACAUGGUAGUCUGGCUGUCUGGAUCUUAAAAUACAAAGUGAAAUAGGUACCACAAAACAGGUAUUAAGGUGCUUUCAUAAUUCAGAAGGAGGACAGAUACUUCCUGUUGGAUUGAUGAAAAAAGGCUUCAUGCAAAAGAUGGCAUUUUGAAGGGUUGCAAACUGCAGGGAUAGGAUUUUGAAGUACAGGAAGGAUUUCUACACAGGGGGAAAGACUUUCUAGAUGGAGGGCAUAAGGUCAAAUAGAGCCAAUAUGAGGACUAAGGAAUAAUCUGGGUUGAUUAGACUGUAAGAUAUGUUUGGGGGCCCGGCACGGUGGCUCACACCUAUAAUCCCAGCACCUGGGAGGCCAAGGCAGGUGGAUCACUUGAGGUCAGGAGUUUAAGACCAGUCUGGCCAACAUGGCGAAACCCUGUCUCUACUAAAAAUACAAAAAUUAGUUGGGCAUGGUGGCUCAUGCCUGUAAUCCCACCUACUUGGGAAGCUGAGGCAGGAGAAUCGCUUGAACCCAGGAGGCUGAGUUUGCAGUGAGCUGAGAUUGCACCACUGCACUGCAGCCUGGGCGACAGAGCGAGACUCUAUCUCAAACAAACAAACAAACAAAAGACAUGUUUGGGUUAUUUAUGGUGUAUUUAAGGAUAAAUAUUGGUCUGUUUUGAAACAUCUUGAUUGCUAAACAAAGUCGUUAGGACUUUAUUUCCUAGACUAUGGGGAGCAACUGAAUGCUUGUGAGUAAUCACACCUCCAUAUAUAAGGGUUAGUAUGUGUGUAAGAUUCAAAGUACAUUGGAUGGGAGAGAAACUGGAGGCAGGAGGCCCAUUGAGAUAGCAGUAUUGUCUGCCAGAAGGAACGUGGGUUUUAGAGCCAAGCACUCAUUGGUUCAGAGCUUGGCUUUGCUCACAAGUUUCAUUAUUUUUGGCAGAUUUAUUUAAGUUAUUAAGCUCUGAUCUCUGUCUCAAAAGAGGGAAAGUAACUGAUGAAGUGCCUGUUACACAAUGGUUAUGCUUGAAUGCUUAAACAGAGGCUGAGGCCUCUGUUUUCUUUUUCUUUCUUUCUUUCUCUUUCUUUCUUUCUUUCUUUCUUUCUUUCUUUCUUUCUCUUUCUUUUUUUCCUUCUUUCCUUCUUUCCUUCUUUCCUUCCUUCCUUCUUUCCUUCCUUCCUUCUUUCCUUCUUUCUUUCUUUCUUUUUCUUUCUUUCUUUCUUUUUUUUUUUU
rnacentral:lncRNA from 10 species